GAAUGAGAAACUGUAGACUGAAGUCCUCUAUUUAGCCAUACAGCAGGUACAGUAUGGGCAAUAGUAGUGUAAACUUCCCCACACCAACUCAUCUUUAGGUUACCAACAAUCUGAUCUGAACUGAAACCAGUGACUUGGGCUGGCAGCCUCUGUUUCCCAUUCCUAAUCCUCACAGUCUUCC
ensembl:misc_RNA